UACGUAGGUGGCGAGCGUUGUCCGGAAUUAUUGGGCGUAAAGCGCGCGCAGGCGGUCCUUUAAGUCUGAUGUGAAAGCCCACGGCUCAACCGUGGAGGGUCAUUGGAAACUGGGGGACUUGAGUACAGAAGAGAAGAGCGGAAUUCCACGUGUAGCGGUGAAAUGCGUAGAGAUGUGGAGGAACACCAGUGGCGAAGGCGACUCUUUGGUCUGUAACUGACGCUGAGGCGCGAAAGCGUGGGGAGCAAACAGG
rnacentral:rRNA from 1 species